ACAAAUUAGUUUUGUGGUUACUUUGGUCCGUGAAGUCUAACGUUUUUGUUAAGGUGAGCAUGGAGGACUAAAUUGUCAUGAGGAAGGAGUGAUACAUGUGUUGCUAGUUCGAUAAGACCAAUUUAUCAUUUUUAAAAUAUUUAUAGAUUAUCUUUGUCUUCCAUGGUAAAUAUCUUUGUCUUCCAUGGUAAAUCCACCAUAAUUACAGAUUAAAAAAUAGUAACCCUGAAGGCAUCAUAACCUCAUUCUCCGACAUCAACAUACACUAAGGACGAAUCCCAUCUCUCAAAAACCUCCAACAUCUUAUCCCAAGCUUCCUUGUCGUCAUAUUCCUUAUAACUGUCGUCAAAUACAAUGACAACUUUUUCUCCAACACCCUCAUCGGCGAGCUCGUGGUGGUGAAGCCCAUGGAUUAUGCCUACCUACAGGGCUUCAUAAGCGCGCAUGACGGUGACGGUGAGGUUCCUCCACACAUGCUCUUUUGCACUCGCUCCGAUUCCCUAUUUUUAUGGAGCACUAGACCAAUUUGGAGGCGAGAUCUUGAGGUCGAAGGCAUCAUCGGUGUAGAACUGUAACAUGUUGCUUUUGGCCCCGGAGCCUUCGUCGGGUUUUGGGUUUGCUGGUGCUUGCGCAAUUCUAGAGCUAGUUUUUUUUUUCAUAGAUCUAAGAUUGGCGAGAAACGUGAUUGAGUUUGGAUUUAUGACUCCAACGGCGGUGGAGCUCUGGUGCGGCGAUCUACAAAACGUCAUUGUUGCAACAGAUAAGAGUAUUUGUUUUUUUUAGAUUUUUAUGUUGAAUUGCAUUAGAUCUGGGUUCUCUUAUUCUCCUUAAUCCUGGAUUUGUAAUUUGUAACUCUAUAUAUGAGUAAACGGUGCAUUUUAUGUUGUGUUUCUAGGUGUUUUAUGUUUUUGUUUGUCUGUGUUUAUGCUCUUGUUGUUGGUGAAGAAAAGGGAAAAAGGGAUGAUAGUGGUGGGCUUGGGGGCAGUGUGACAGUGGAAGAAAAACUAACGUUAGAGGGAGACAAACAUCAAAGAGAAUGAAAAUGGCGAGGAAAAAAAAAAUAAAAAUGAAAUGCCAUCACAGAAAUUCGUCUUCAACGAUGACGGACAAUGGUGUUAACGAUAAUUUUUGUUUGAAGAAGACGGUAAGUUGAAGAAAACAGUAUAAUCAACUUAAUGUGCUAAAAUUAAAAAUUUUUACUUGAAUUUGAUUUGUGACUUCAAAAUGAUAAAUUAUUCAUAAAAAUUUGAUGACAAAUUGAUCUGUUGAGUCAGCAUCUCAUGUGAUGCUUUUUUCUCAAGACAAUUUGAGUUGUCACGUCAAUAGAAACAUUAGAUUUUAUGGAUAAAAAUAACAGCAACACUAAUAUUCGGUUGGCAUAUUUACAUAUUGAGGGAUAAAAAUAUCUCUGAUCACAUAUGUCAACAAAUUAUUACACCUUUGAGGGAGGAAAUUACACUUUGUGGGACGAAUUUGAUUAUUUAUUCCUAUAAAAACAACGUGAAGAAAGCGUGAGCAGAACGCGCUUCCUGUAAAACCUAGCCAUCCAAAACCAGCAAUCACUCCAAGUGCAUGUAAAAUCGCAGGUAAAGCGAAACCACGUUACUCUCACGCUUUUCUUUCUUUUAACACUCUUAAUUCUGCCCUAUUCUCGCAUUCACCCCCAAAACUCCUUCCCUCCCACACCCACAAUCAAAAAAUCAAAUUUCACCGUUCAAAAAUGCAGGUUACCUUACAUACGUGCGAAGCUCUUCUCCUCCUCCUCAACAUUUCUGACCACGUUUUUCUUGUUUCUCGCAGGUUUAAGGUUUCUGUUUCUCCAUGCAAUGUGUCGUGUGUGUGUGUGUUCCAUUUCUCGCUUUGACUUUCGGUCUCACUUCCUUUGACCGUUAAUUUCGGCUUUUCUCGGUCACCUACAGGGGAAAGUUACUGUUGGCUGAUCUUAAAUGGCGCCCAAUCCAAGAGUGGUAGCGGCCUUUAUGGCAAUGUCGAAUCUCGGGAUUCAUGAAUCAAAAGUUAAACCAGUGUUGAAGAAACUGCUUAAAUUGUAUGAUAAGAACUGGGCACUCAUUGAAGAAGAGAGUUAUAGGGCUCUGGCUGAUGCUAUAUUUGAGGAGGAAGAAAAUAAGGUGAACGAGCCAGACCAGAAUAUUAAAAACAAGGACGGAGUAGUGGACGAUGUAGAAGCUCAUACGCAUGAGGAACCUGUGCGGCCUUUGAAGAGGUUGCGUUUGAGAGGCCAAGAGGGUCAAUCUUUGCGCCCUCUGACUAGCAGUGGCCCCAGCUCAGCUGCAUUUCCAUUGAAAAUGCCUAAAUUAGAAGACGGGACAGUGCCUGAGAGUAGUUCCAGACUGCAGCCUCAAAGCCUGGCUGCAUUAUCUGAUGGAAAUGCAAGGAUUGGUGCUCAUCAUGUUCCCCCACAAGAUGCUGUUGUCGACAAGGGAAAGAAACCUAUAUCACCUCAAGUUACUCCCAGAAGGAGAAGGUCCCUUUCUGAACCACUUAAAGAGUCAACAGUUGAAGGCCGAGCUGCUCUGUUGGCAAAUAACAAAAUGCCUCAUCCAUUUAUUUUGAUCAAACCCAAGGAUGAGCCUGUUGAUGAUAUACCAGAUUAUGAGAUUCCCCUUGCAGUGAUUCCUCCUGACUCUCCAAUGGGUGCAGUUGAAAAGCAAGAUGUCCAUGACACUGUUGUAUCACAAUGCAGAGAUGAAGACGUUGAACAUGAAGAUGUUUUUCCUUCCUCAAAUGAAGAAGCAACUUCUAAUGUAUAUGUAGCUUUGUCAUCUAUGGGAGAGGAACAAUCUGUAAAGAUAACACAAACUGAUGAUGUUUCAAAGGAAUCUGAGACCAAUGACUCAUCAAUUGUCAGAGGAAAUAAAGAUUCAGUCAUUGCAAAUGGGUCAAUCAGUGUUAAGUCUUCUUCGGCCGUGGCUGAACUUCAAGUUCCUAGUUCUAUACCCAGCCCGAGUGAUCCGGAUGAUGCUGUACUGGCUCCCAAGAAGGUCGCAAUGAAUGGUUUCUUACAAAGUGAUGGUGGAAAGGAGCUGGAGGAUCCUAUAUCCCCAAAUUCAUGUACUUUAGUGGUUGUUCAAAAACAUCAGCUUACAACUGAUGAUGUAAGGGCAGUUCAUGAUGUUAAUGACCUAACAAAGGGAGAAGAAAGAGUGAAAAUUUCAUGGGUGAAUAACACCACUAAUGAUUUCCCACCACUCUUUCACUACAUACCCCGAAACCUUGUGUUCCGAGAUGCUUAUGUUAAUAUUUCUCUAUCUCGUAUUGGGAAUGAGGAUUGUUGUUCAACUUGUAUGGGCAAUUGUGUAUUGUCAUCUAAUCCAUGUUCUUGUACAAAUAAAACUGGGGGUGAAUUUGCUUACACUGCAAAAGGCCUACUAAAGGAAGAGUUCUUGGACGAGUGUAUUGCCCUCAGCCAUGAUCCUCAAAAUUAUUUCUAUUGCAAAGCAUGUCCCCUUGAAAGAUCAAAGAAUGAUGAUUGUUUAGAACCAUGUAAAGGACACUUAAAGAGGAAGUUUAUUAAAGAGUGCUGGAGCAAAUGUGGCUGUGGGAAACAUUGUGGCAAUCGGGUUGUCCAGCGUGGGAUAACUUGCAAGUUGCAGGUGUUUUUGACUUCAGAUGGAAAAGGGUGGGGUCUUCGUACCUUAGAAGAUCUUCCAAAAGGCGCAUUUGUAUGUGAGUUUGUUGGGGAAAUUUUGACCCUCAAAGAGUUGCACGAGAGGAACCUGAAAUAUCCCAAAAAUGGGAAAUAUACAUACCCAAUUUUAUUGGAUGCAGAUUGGGGUUCAGGAACUGUGAAGGAUAGAGAAGCUCUUUGCUUAUAUGCUGCAUCAUAUGGAAAUGCUGCUAGAUUUAUUAAUCACAGAUGUUUGGAUGCAAACUUGGUUGAGAUCCCAGUUGAAGUUGAGGGCCCAACUCAUCACUACUAUCAUUUUGCCUUCUUCACAUCCAGAAAAGUAGCAGCACAGGAAGAGCUCACUUGGGUGUGAUUAUGGCAUCAACUUUGAUGAACAUGAUGAUCAGCCAAUUGAGCUGUUCCAGUGCAGAUGUAGCAGUAAAUUCUGUAGGAAUAUUAAGCGAUUAAAUAGAUCCAUGAGAUCGUCAAGUUCAUGAUGGCCAUUCUCUGGUAAACAGAUUUUUUGGUCUGAUGCAUGCCAUCGAUCAGUAGUAACAAGUUUCAACCUACUGAAUUGGUCUCUUUUUGUAUUUUAGUUUUCAUUAUUUUGCUUGGAGGUUGGAUACAAGUUACUAUUGACAGCCUUCUAAAAACUACAAGGCAGUCAUGGGACAGAAUAAGAAAAUAACCUCUAGGUGUUAAUAACCCCGAAUAGUUCUGUCAAAUGCCAAUGUAUGAUUCUGCCUCUGGGUUUUAUGUUGUGCUGAAUGCAUGCCAGAUUAAUGGUUUAGAAAAACUUCUCGUUCUCUUUAA